CCUACGGGAGGCAGCAGUGAGGAAUAUUGGUCAAUGGCCGCAAGGCUGAACCAGCCAUGCCGCGUGAAUGUCAGUGGCCUAUGGGCUGUAAACUUCUUUUGUGCGGGAGCAAUAAUGGUCACGUGUUGCCAGACUAGAGUACCGUACGAAUAAGCAUCGGCUAACUCCGUGCCAGCAGCCGCGGUAAUACGGGGGAGGGAAGCGUUAACCGGGUUUAGUGGGGUUAAAGGUGGCGUAUGCUGGUAGGUAAGGCAGCGGGGGAAUGCCCCGGCUCAACGGGGUGAAGGGCCAUUGAUACUGGCUUGCUGGAGUGCGGAUGACGUGGGAGGAAUGUGUGGUGUAGCGGUGAAAUGCAUAGAUAUCAGACAGAACACCGAUUGCGAAGGCGUCCCACGAAUCAGCGAUUGACGCUGAUGUACGAAAGCGUGGGUAUCAAACAGGAUUAGAUACCCUAGUAGUC
rnacentral:rRNA from 1 species